rnacentral:rRNA from 1 species
ACGGAGGGUGCAAGCGUUAAUCGGAAUUACUGGGCGUAAAGGGUUCGUAGGUGGUUAGAUAAGUUAUCUGUAAAAUCCCUGGGCUUAACCUGGGCAGGUCAGAUAAGACUGUUUGACUCGAGUAUGGGAGAGGGUAGUGGAAUUUCCGGUGUAGCGGUGAAAUGCGUAGAGAUCGGAAGGAACACCAGUGGCGAAGGCGGCUACCUGGCCUAAUACUGACACUGAGGAACGAAAGCGUGGGGAGCAAACAGG